CCGUGCCAGGACAGGACCGUGCCAGGACCAUGCCUUGCUGUUGCCGCCGUUAGGGGUGCGGGAGGUUUUUGCGGGACGGCCUGAUUGCCGCAAAGGCGUAGGCGUAGGCGCGGAGCCAAACGCAGCAGAGGUGGCAGAGAAGGCAGCGCUCUGCGGGCUCGGCACGGCGCGACAGCCUCGUUCCGCUCAGCGCAGGAGCAGUUUUAAUCGCUUCGAAAUGGCAAACCCACGUGUCCAUACCUCUUGUAGGUAAACACCCGAGCCCCGGAUGUCAAACACAACCGCGCUCCAGAGAGCGCAAGGCCACGUGGGGAAGGAGCGCCUGCUGUACUCGCAGCCUUCGGCUGAUGCUUGGAAGUGAGCUCUGAGUUCACUGAACGGCCGCUGUGUCCUGCUUGUUCCACAGAGAAUGGCGGGGCAGAUGGUGGCCUCCAGCCUGGCGCGCUAGCAUUCCGAUGUCAGGGCAGCGGGCACCGCGCUGCCUCACACCGCAGUGCUCCGCUGCACGUGCAGCACAGUGAGGUGCCAGCUCCUGGCUGCCCGCUGGAGUGGGGUAUGGCUGCAUCUUGUGGUCAGCUGAGACUUUGGAGCAUACGACUGUAGUGAUGUUAACAGCACAGCCAAGACCACCGGUCUCGAUAAGGCACAGAGCUGUUAGCUAUCUUUGAAAAGAACUGUGUGUGAGGCUGAAGGCUUAGUACUGAGUAGUACUAGUGAAAGCAAGAUACCUCAUCUUAGGGCCACCUGGAAACAGGACUGCAGGCCCCUGCAAACUUUAGCAUUGAAGACUUGUACCCUUGUUUUCUUUGUGCUUCUAGUGUCAGGCAGCAGUGGAGCAGGUGCCAUGCGAAUCAGAUGUCUUUCUUUGGCACUGCCACUCCUGAUGCUGUAGUCUGCUCCCACCGGGAGGGGGGUGGUGCAGCGUGAAGGACCUUUCAACCUCUCUGAGCUAAUGUGGUACUGAGUAAAGAGUAAUCAAGCUUGCAAAUAAUUACUUAUUCCCAAUGAGAACAAACAGGAGUUUUGUUAUUAACUUCCAGAAACAAGCUUUUCUAGCGGGGCCAAAACAGCUCAACUGCAUUCAACAGAAUCUGCCAGUAUACAUGCUUUUGAUAAAAAUUGAUGUAUGCAGGUAAGAAAUUGACCAUAAAGCAUUAUUUUCCCUACCACUUGCAGCAACUUUAAUAUCCUAUAAUGGAAUCUGAACAUCGGACCUGUAGGCUUUUCCACAACUCUUUAGCACCAGCAAGUAACAUUUGUUUCUGCAGAGAAACAGACAGUGACUUCUGAUAUGACUGCGGAAUGGGAAAUUGAAAGACUAUUGGAUAAAAUGAUUUAGAAAAUAAAAAGUGUAAUAAAAUGCACUGCAGAAGCAGAUAGCAAGGAAAGGGGAAUGAAUGAAUAAAUGAGGAUUCAAGAGCAAUCAGGAAUGCAUGUUUAUAAGGAUAUUAGUGAGUAGAUGGCCUAGAUUUAGUAACGAGUGGAGGAGGAGGUCAGCAAUUUCUGCUCUGAUUUCUUGUGAUGUUGCAACAUCACAAGAAAGGUUCAGUCACAACAUUCAGUUAGCAUCAAUGUAUUGAUAAGGUGUUUCACCCUGUCCUGCUCAAAAGGCAGGGAGGCCUUGUUAAUAAGUAAUUCACUUUCUGAUAGUGUUUGAUGUGGAAAAAAAAAAAAGAUUCUUUGCAUUUCUUUAAGCUAUCUGCUCAUUUUAGCAUUUUAAUACCUGGAGAGUGGAAGAAGGGAUACAGGUCUGGCCCUUACUGCUAUUCACUGCUCUGAGUGUUUUCCUUAUAGUCAUGGCCACUACUGGGAACUUUCUGCUGAUCACAAGAUGACCUUUUGACAGUGGGAACUACAGGCUGAACAGAGGUAGCUGGAGGAGGCCCCUCAAUAGCAUUACAAAAUCAAACUGUAUCUAUCCUUUGUCACUGCAUUUUUUUGUUUGUUUGUUUUGUUUUGUUUUGUGUCAAAUAAAUUUUUUGUGUGUUUUCCCUUUAAAA